rnacentral:rRNA from 1 species
UUGAACGCUGGCGGCAGGCCUAACACAUGCAAGUCGAACGGUAACAGGAAGAAGCUUGCUUCUUUGCUGACGAGUGGCGGACGGGUGAGUAAUGUCUGGGAAACUGCCUGAUGGAGGGGGAUAACUACUGGAAACGGUAGCUAAUACCGCAUAACGUCGCAAGACCAAAGAGGGGGACCUUCGGGCCUCUUGCCAUCGGAUGUGCCCAGAUGGGAUUAGCUAGUAGGUGGGGUAACGGCUCACCUAGGCGACGAUCCCUAGCUGGUCUGAGAGGAUGACCAGCCACACUGGAACUGAGACACGGUCCAGACUCCUACGGGAGGCAGCAGUGGGGAAUAUUGCACAAUGGGCGCAAGCCUGAUGCAGCCAUGCCGCGUGUAUGAAGAAGGCCUUCGGGUUGUAAAGUACUUUCAGCGGGGAGGAAGGGAGUAAAGUUAAUACCUUUGCUCAUUGACGUUACCCGCAGAAGAAGCACCGGCUAACUCCGUGCCAGCAGCCGCGGUAAUACGGAGGGUGCAAGCGUUAAUCGGAAUUACUGGGCGUAAAGCGCACGCAGGCGGUUUGUUAAGUCAGAUGUGAAAUCCCCGGGCUCAACCUGGGAACUGCAUCUGAUACUGGCAAGCUUGAGUCUCGUAGAGGGGGGUAGAAUUCCAGGUGUAGCGGUGAAAUGCGUAGAGAUCUGGAGGAAUACCGGUGGCGAAGGCGGCCCCCUGGACGAAGACUGACGCUCAGGUGCGAAAGCGUGGGGAGCAAACAGGAUUAGAUACCCUGGUAGUCCACGCCGUAAACGAUGUCGACUUGGAGGUUGUGCCCUUGAGGCGUGGCUUCCGGAGCUAACACGUUAAGUCGACCGCCUGGGGAGUACGGCCGCAAGGUUAAAACUCAAAUGAAUUGACGGGGGCCCGCACAAGCGGUGGAGCAUGUGGUUUAAUUCGAUGCAACGCGAAGAACCUUACCUGGUCUUGACAUCCACGGAAGUUUUCAGAGAUGAGAAUGUGCCUUCGGGAACCGUGAGACAGGUGCUGCAUGGCUGUCGUCAGCUCGUGUUGUGAAAUGUUGGGUUAAGUCCCGCAACGAGCGCAACCCUUAUCCUUUGUUGCCAGCGGUCCGGCCGGGAACUCAAAGGAGACUGCCAGUGAUAAACUGGAGGAAGGUGAGGAUGACGUCAAGUCAUCAUGGCCCUUACGACCAGGGCUACACACGUGCUACAAUGGCGCAUACAAAGAGAAGCGACCUCGCGAGAGCAAGCGGACCUCAUAAAGUGCGUCGUAGUCCGGAUUGGAGUCUGCAACUCGACUCCAUGAAGUCGGAAUCGCUAGUAAUCGUGGAUCAGAAUGCCACGGUGAAUACGUUCCCGGGCCUUGUACACACCGCCCGUCACACCAUGGGAGUGGGUUGCAAAAGAAGUAGGUAGCUUAACCUUCGGGAGGGCGCUUACCACUUUGUGAUUCAUGACUGGGGUG